rnacentral:snRNA from 1 species
GCUUCUUCACUUGCAGGUGCAAGG